rnacentral:rRNA from 1 species
CAGCCGCCGCGGUAAUACGUAGGGUGCAAGCGUUAAUCGGAAUUACUGGGCGUAAAGCGUGCGCAGGCGGUUAUAUAAGACAGAUGUGAAAUCCCCGGGCUCAACCUGGGAACUGCAUUUGUGACUGUAUAGCUAGAGUACGGCAGAGGGGGAUGGAAUUCCGCGUGUAGCAGUGAAAUGCGUAGAUAUGCGGAGGAACACCGAUGGCGAAGGCAAUCCCCUGGGCCUGUACUGACGCUCAUGCACGAAAGCGUGGGGAGCAAACAGGAUUAGAUACCCGCGUAGUCCCUGUCUCUUAUAA